UCGGCAGUGUCUCCAGCAGUACAAUCUGCCCAUGGCUGGGGGAUGUUCUGGGGAUCGUGCAGAAACCCAGCCGCUCUCUCAGAGCUGGGCUGGCUCUGCAGGUCCAAUACCAACGGCUCAGGUCUGUCACUAAGGGGUGUGUAGAAUCCAGAGGGCAUUCACCCAUGUCAGCUCAGCGAUCGCACCAUGGCCCCCUUACCUGGCUGGUGAUGUCAGACGGCAUCGGAGAAGGCGGCUUGGAGUACGUGGCAUCCUGGGAGAUGAAGCCAGAGUCGUGGGAGGAGACGCUGGACAGGCGGGUGUUGGCAUUAACCGGCUGCGCCAGGCUGCGGUAGCGAUAGGUGGAACCUGGGCGGGGAGGUUGAGGUUGGCAAACUCGUGUCACUCAUGUCCAUCAGACUUACUUGGUGAACUGCCUCAGCUUGGCCUCGAUGCUGCGGUGCCGCAUGCACAUCCGGGUCAGUGCCGAACCAAUGUCUCUUGUG